rnacentral:rRNA from 1 species
AGAGUUUGAUCCUGGCUCAGGGCUAACGCUGGCGGCGUGUCUUAGCCAUGCAAGUCGAGCGGUCCUAUGGGGCGACCUAUAGGAUAGCGGCGGACGGCGGAGUAACACGUAGCUAACCUACCCUCCGGACGGGGAUAACCAUUCGAAAGGGUGGCUAAUACCCGAUGGAGUCAUCCGCAAGGGUGAUGAAAGGUGGGCCUCUGUUUACAAGCUCAUGCCGGGGGAGGGGGCUGCGGCCUAUCAGGUAGUUGGUGGGGUAAAGGCCCACCAAGCCUAUGACGGGUAGCCGGCCUGAGAGGGUGACCGGCCCGAGGGACACUGAGACACGGGUCCCACUCCUACGGGAGGCAGCAGGCUAGAAAUUUGGGCAAUGGGGGAAACCCUGACCCAGUGACGCCGCGUGCAGGAAGGAGCCCUUCGGGGUGUAAACUGCUGUCGUGCGGGGCGAAGGGUUUAUAGGCGAAUAGUCUAUAGACUUGACGGUACCGCAGGAGGAAGCCCAGGCUAACCUCGUGCCAGCAGCCGCGGUAAUACGGGGUGGGCGAGCGUUGCCCGGAAUUACUGGGUUUAAAGGGGGUGUAGGCGGUCUGGAUAGUCAGGUGUGUAAUCCAAUCGCUCAACGAUUGGACUGCAUCUGAUACUUUCAGGCUAGAGGGCGGUAGAGGAGAGCGGAACUCCCGGUGUAGCGGUGAAAUGCGUAGAUAUCGGGAGGAACGCCGGUGGCGAAGGCGGCUCUCUGGGCCGUUCCUGACGCUGAGGCCCGAAAGCUGGGGGAGCGAAAGGGGAUUAGAUACCCCUGUAGUCCCAGCCGUAAACGAUGGGGCACUAGUGUGCCUCUAUAUAGGGUGUGGCGACGGGAAACCGUUAGUGCCCCACCUGGGGAGUAGGCCGGCAAGGGUGAAACUCAAUGAAUGACGG